ensembl:snRNA U5 U5 spliceosomal RNA
AUACUCUGGUUUCUCUUCAGAUCGUAUAAAUCUUUCGCCUUUUACUAAAGAUUUCCGUGGGGAGAAACAAUUCUGAGUUUGUAUCCAAUUUUUUGAGGUCUUGCAAUCUGCAAGACU